rnacentral:rRNA from 1 species
UGAAAGCCUACGGCUCAACCGUAGAACUGCAUCCAAAACUAUUUAGCUAGAGUGUGGGAGAGGAAGAUGGAAUUAGUUGUGUAGGGGUAAAAUCCGUAGAGAUAACUAGGAAUACCAAAAGCGAAGGCAAUCUUCUGGAACACUACUGACGCUGAGGCGCGAAAGCGUGGGGAGCAAACAGGAUUAGAUACCCUGGUAGUCCACGCAGUAAACGAUGAAUGUUAGUCGUCGGGGGCCUAGUGUCUUCGGUGAUGCAGCUAACGCAUUAAACAUUCCGCCUGGGGAGUACGGUCGCAAGAUUAAAACUCAAAGGAAUAGACGGGGACCCGCACAAGUGGUGGAGCAUGUGGUUUAAUUCGAAGAUACGCGAAGAACCUUACCUAGCCUUGACAUAUUUUAGAACUCCGUAGAGAUACAGAGGUGCCUUCGGGAGCUAAUUUACAGGUGCUGCACGGCUGUCGUCAGCUCGUGUCGUGAGAUGUUGGGUUAAGUCCCGCAACGAGCGCAACCCUCGUCACUAGUUACUAACGGUUCGGCCGAGGGCUCUAGUGAGACUGCCUUCGUAAGGAGGAGGAAGGUGAGGACGACGUCAAGUCAUCAUGGCCCUUACGGCUAGGGCAACACACGUGCUACAAUGGCCAGGACAGUGAGACGCGAUACCGUGAGGUGGAGCAAAUCUAUAAACCUGGUCUCAGUUCGGAUUGUAGUCUGCAACUCGACUACAUGAAGCUGGAAUCACUAGUAAUCGUAGAUCAGCUAUGCUACGGUGAAUACGUUCCCGGGUCUUGUACUCACCGCCCGUCACACCAUGGGAGUUGAUUUCACCCGAAGCGGGGAAGCUAAACUGGCUACCCUCCACGGUGGAAUUAGCGACUGGGGUGAAGUCGUAACAAGGUAACC